UUAGGAAUUUUGCACAAUGGCCGAAAGGCUGAUGCAGCAACGCCGCGUGGGGGAAGAAGGUCUUCGGAUCGUAAACCUCUUUUCUGGGGGAAGAUAGUGACGGUACCCUGGGAAUAAGCCCCGGCUAACUACGUGCCAGCAGCCGCGGUAAUACGUAGGGGGCUAGCGUUGUCCGGAUUUAUUGGGCGUAAAGGGCGCGUAGGCGGCUUGCCAAGUCGUGCGUGAAAUACUCCGGCUCAACUGGAGUGGGUCGUGCGAGACUGGUGGGCUUGAGGUCGGAAGGGGAAAGUGGAAUUCCCGGUGUAGUGGUGGAAUGCGUAGAUAUCGGGAGGAACACCAGUGGCGAAGGCGGCUUUCUGGACCGAUCCUGACGCUGAGGCGCGAAAGCGUGGGAAGCAAACUGG
rnacentral:rRNA from 2 species